UGGGCCUAAGCGCUCGUAGCCGGGUUGGCAAGUCCCUUGUGAAAUCGGGCGGCUUAACCGUUCGGCUUGCAAGGGAUACUGCCAGUCUUGAGGCCGGGAGACGUCAAGGGUACUCUGGGGGUAGCGGUGAAAUGCUCUAAUCCUCGGGGGACCACCAGUGGCGAAGGCGUUUGACGAGAACGGACCUGACGGUGAGGGGCGAAGGCUAGGGGAGCGAACGGGAUUAGAUACCCCGGUAGUCCUAGCUGUAAAGUAUGCGGGCCAGGUGUCUGGUGUUCCUCGAGAGCACCAGGUGCCGGAGAGAGGUCG
rnacentral:rRNA from 1 species